UACGUAGGGACCAAGCGUUGUUCGGAUUUACUGGGCGUAAAGGGCGCGUAGGCGGCUUAACAAGUCACUUGCGAAAUCUCCGGGCUUAACUCGGAACGGCCAAGUGAAACUGUCAAGCUAGAGUGCAGAAGGGGCAAUCGGAAUUCUUGGUGUAGCGGUGAAAUGCGUAGAUAUCAAGAGGAACACCUGAGGUGAAGACAGGUUGCUGGGCUGACACUGACGCUGAGGCGCGAAAGCCAGGGGAGCGAACGGG
rnacentral:rRNA from 1 species